rnacentral:rRNA from 1 species
AUUGAACGCUGGCGGCAUGCCUAACACAUGCAAGUCGAACGAAUGGCGGAGGGGUGAGUAAGUUAGGGACAACUGCGCGAUGGAGGGGGAUGAGGGCGGGAACCGGUAGCUAAUACCGCAUACCAUCGGAUCUGCCCAGGGGGGAGUAGGUAGUAGGGGGGGUAACGGCGUACCAAGGGGACGAUCCAUAGCCGGGCUGAGAGGCUGACCAGCAACACUGGAACUGAGACACGGUCCAGACGCCUACGGGAGGCAGCAGUGGGGAAUAUUGGACAAUGGGCGAAAGCCUGAUGCAGCAAUGCCGCGUGUAUGAAGAAGGCUUUCGGGUUGUAAAGCACUUUCAUCGGGGAGGCGUUACCUGCAGAAGAAGCACCGGCUAACUCCGUGCCAGCAGCCGCGGUAAUUC